rnacentral:RNase_P_RNA from 1 species
CCGCCUAGGCAAUCGCUGGCUUAUUUUUUUGGAUAAGCGGGAGGAAAGUCCGGGCUGCACAGGGCAGGAUGACGGCUAACGGCCGUGCGUGGUAACACGACGGAAAGUGCCACAGAAAACAAACCGCCGAUGGCGUGUUUUUUUGCACGCACAGGCAAGGGUGAAACGGCAGGGUAAGCGCCUACCGCUUGGGCGGUAACGUCCAAGGCAGGGUAAACCCCAUCCGCAGCAAGACCGAAUAGGAAAACAAUGGCGUUGCCCGCGCCGUUUUCGGGUUGGUCGCUUGAACCUUGGGGUAAUUCAAGGUCUAGAUGAAUGAUUGCCACGAUUUAAAAAAAAUCGCACAGAACCCGGCUUAUCGGGCGGCUUUU